rnacentral:lncRNA from 1 species
GCUGGCCCUGAACAUUCCCUCCCUCAGUUGGUGCGACCCUCCCUAGAAAUCCUGCUGGCAGCCAGCAGCCACAUGCUGAAGGAGGUGCUGGAGAGCCCCUUCUCAGACCCACUCAAGAACUUGCGGCUUCCGCAUGAACUGAACUCCAACAAGAAAUAUAGCUGGAUGCAGAAGAAGGAAGAGCGGAUGCUUGCUAUGAAAUCUUCCUUGGAGGACAUGGAUGCGCUGGAACUGGACUUCCGG